rnacentral:lncRNA from 1 species
UGUCAUUCUCGGUUUCAAUCCCCACUGUCUUAUGAUCACUCCUCAAUCUUGCGGAAUGGGGGCGAAGACCGUGCCAGCUACUUCCUGCUGUGCAAGGGCAAAGAUCAGGGUCAGAGAAAUGAAAUCCUUUCACCUUUACUUUAAAAUAUUUUGGGUUGCUAGGUGGGGAGAGCGGGGAAUGCUCUGCAUGACUAACAUUUUAGUGCCCUGAUCAAGGGCUUUGGAACAACACUUAAGUUCAUAUUUUAUAAUUACAUAGACGACCACACAUCUUAGACGGCCCAAAUUUAAUUUUUUUUUCGAGGAAGAUUAGCGCUGAGCUAACUGCUGCCAAUCCUCCUCUUUUUGCUGAGGAAGACUGGCCCUGAGCUAACAUCCGUGCCCGUCUUCCUCUCCUUUAUAUGUGGGACGCCUACCACAGCAUGGCUUGCCAAGCGGUGCCAUGUCUGCACCCGGGAUCCGAACCGGCGAACCCCGGGCCACUGAAGCGGAACGUGCGAACUUAACCGCUGUGCCACCGGGCCAGCCCACAGCCCAAAUUUUAGUAUCCCCUCCAUAAUGGAUCUCAAUCCUUAGGGAAUCCAAGAGAAGAGGCCUGUAAACCAAUCAAGGUUGGGCCUGGAAACUCAAGUGAAAUCUGACGAACAAAAGAAAAACAAGGUUAAUGGUUGGAGCCAAUUACAAGUUAAUUUCUCAGCCCAGGGGAUGGCCAGUCAAAAAGAUUUCCAGAUGUCAGGGUCGAAACAGCCUUUGCAUUUUGCAAUGUCUCUGAUGAUGUCAUUGGGUGUUCAGAUAAAGCUUUUAAGUGGCCUAUACAGCAACACACAUGAAGAGUCUCUAAACAUGGGCCAUCGUGCCCAGGGGAUGGCCAGUCAAAAAGAUUUCCAGAUGUCAGGGUCGAAACAGCCUUUGCAUUUUGCAAUGUCUCUGAUGAUGUCAUUGGGUGUUCAGAUAAAGCUUUUAAGUGGCCUAUACAGCAACACACAUGAAGAGUCUCUAAACAUGGGCCAUCGUGGUGAUCUCUCUUAAGUUUACACCAAGCCGUCCAGUUUCAGUUUUCAGGGCCUCGGGAAAAA